AGCUACACAACGAGAUGAGGAUGGUCAUUGUAAUUUCUGAGCUGCGAACGGGCAGAAAGCAACACAACGAGAUGAGGAUGGUCAUUGUCAUUUUUCUGAGCUGCGAACGGGCAGAAAGCAACACAACGAGAUGAGGAUGGUCAUUGUCAUUUUCUGAGCUGCGAACGGGCAGAAAGCAACACAACGAGAUGAGGAUGGUCAUUAUCAUUUUCUGAGCUGCGAACGGGCAGAAAGCUACACAACGAGAUGAGGAUGGUCAUGGUCAUUUUCUGAGCUUCGAACGGGCAGAAAG